ACUCAAGAUUCAUUUAAUCUAUAUUACCAAAACCGUCAAAUGUGCAUUGGCUAUUUCUUUUUAUACAGUGAAAUGACAUGCCGGUUCCAUGAUAUAUGACAUGUCAUAUAGGUGUGUGACAGGUGAAAGGAUGCAAUUCAGCUUUGCUGCAAUUUGCAAAGACAACAAACAUCCCCAUUCUUUUGGAAAAAAGAUCACCUAAUGCAGUGCAAGAGAAAGGUUUUAAUUUUGAUGAUACUAGGAUUAUGAGAGGAGCAUGGAGGAAUGAGUCUAAUCUUGAUAUCUGCAAGCUACAUAGGAGUUCUUCAGAUGCCUUGCUAUAUAUCAACAAAUGCACAUAAAUACGACUCUUCCUUUUUUAAGGGUAAGCAUUUUAUAUUUUGUUCUUGAAAUUGCAAUGUUAUUGCUUUUUUUUCCCUACUCAUUGGAAGUGAUUUUUGUGACCUUUAAACUGCUAUUUUUGGUAGAAUAUAUUGAUUGGUUAAGUAGUUUAUAAUCUUCUUAGGCUUAUAUUCUUUUCAUUUUCUUGCUUAUGCUUUCAAGUUUACUAAAAUAGAUGAUUCUCCUCAUAUUUUAUACAUAAUAAUAAAAGGGAGGAUGAUGCAAAAAAUAACAUAUCUACCUUGCCCAGCAAUAUCUUAGCAAAUCAACCAACUAUGUUUGCGAACAUAGAUACUAAUGUAGAUAACCUAUAGUUUUGAAGAAGCAAGUAUGCAGUUUAAUACAUUUACCUUACUGUAUCAACUGCCAAGUCUUAGGUGGUGUUUAUUUGUAUUUUUCAUUUUUUUUUAAUUUUCAAUGUGUAAUAAGAAACUGAGAUGUAUAAUGUAUAAUGAAUUUUAUAAAAGCAGGAUCACAUUUGUACAG